rnacentral:sRNA from 1 species
UCAAAUUCUUGCAAUAACUUGAAUGUUG